rnacentral:rRNA from 1 species
UACGAAGGGGGCUAGCGUUGCUCGGAAUUACUGGGCGUAAAGCGCACGUAGGCGGCUCUUUAAGUCGGGGGUGAAAUCCUGGAGCUCAACUCCAGAACUGCCUUCGAUACUGAAGAGCUCGAGUCCGGGAGAGGUGAGUGGAACUGCGAGUGUAGAGGUGAGAUUCGUAGAUAUUCGCAAGAACACCAGUGGCGAAGGCGGCUCACUGGCCCGGUACUGACGCUGAGGUGCGAAAGCGUGGGGAGCAAACAGG